rnacentral:rRNA from 1 species
UACGAAGGGGGCUAGCGUUGCUCGGAAUCACUGGGCGUAAAGGGUGCGUAGGCGGGUCUUUAAGUCAGGGGUUAAAUCCUGGAGCUCAACUCCAGAACUGCCUUUGAUACUGAAGAUCUUGAGUUCGGGAGAGGUGAGUGGAACUGCGAGUGUAGAGGUGAAAUUCGUAGGUAUUCGCAAGAACACCAGUGGCGAAGGCGGCUCACUGGCCCGAUACUGACGCUGAUGCACGAAAGCGUGGGGAGCAAACAGG